AUUCUACUCCCUCCGUCCCACAAUACAGGCCUUCUAUUUGUCAAAAUAUAGAUGUAUCUAGACAUGUUUUAGUAUAUAGGUACAUCCAUUUUGGAAGUCAAGUAUUUUGGAAUGGAGGGAGUACACA
rnacentral:pre_miRNA from 1 species